GCUGCACGUACACCGGUAUUUGCCUUUUCACAUCGUGACAUUACAAACCGCUCUCGAUAACCAGGUCUUUGUUUAAGCCAAAAUAGCUCUACUCGACAUUGUUUUUGUUUUGGAUCACGUUUUGGCUACUGUUUGAGUGUUUCUCUCUUCAGAAGUUCUCUUACGCGUUAUUAUUGACAUUUUUAAUUACGAGUUAAAACUAGGAGUUUCAUCUUCUUCAGUUGGUAGUGGUACGUAGUGCCGUACUCGUUCACUGUACGUGGUUACUCGCUCCCGCCCGGGACCCGGGCGCGGCCAUCCCAGCUGCAGAGCCAGCCAAGCAGUUCGAGUGAAAGCGACGAGUACACCAUAUGGGACAAUGAACUCGGAGUCUACACUUUGUUUCUACAAGUCAACGGGCAACUUGAUCAAUCGAAGAGGACUGGGGAAGUGUACAACAGGCCUGUCGUUUCCGUCCGGCGAAACAAAGAGAUCAUGGAGAACCCAGAAGUACCACAACUGAAUUGGGAAGGACAGUGAGAAGUCUCUGGAGGACAGGAGAUGUGUGUGCAUUUGAGUUUUGUCAGAUGUGUAUCAAUCAGAUUAUUUACGUCUGGGACCGACCUUUUACAUCACAAUCUGAAAGACGUGACCAGGGCUCGAAACUCUGCAUCAAUUUGUAACUUCCCCACAGCUUGGAUUACAGGUGCAAGCCACAACGCCCAGGACAGGAGAGCUGU
rnacentral:lncRNA from 1 species